GCCCGCAUGGCCUAAUGGCUAUGGCGUCCCACUCGUAAUCCAUCGGAUAACAUCAAAAUGGGGAGAUUCUCGGUUCAAUUCCGAGUGUGGGCA